rnacentral:rRNA from 13 species
AGUCAAGUAAUUAAGUGCAUGUGGUGGAUGCCUUGGCAGUCAGAGGCGAUGAAAGACGUGAUAGCCUGCGAAAAGCUCCGGGGAGGCGGCAAAUAUCCUUUGAUCCGGAGAUGUCUGAAUGGGGGAACCCACCUACUUUAAGGUAGGUAUUGCAACAUGAAUACAUAGUGUUGCAAGGCGAACGAGGGGAAGUGAAACAUCUCAGUACCCUUAGGAAAAGAAAUCAAUUGAGAUUCCCUCAGUAGCGGCGAGCGAACGGGGAUCAGCCCAUUAAGUUAUGUGUGUUUUAGUGGAACGCUCUGGGAAGUGCGAACGUAGAGGGUGAUAUUCCCGUACACGAAAGGGCACACAUAAUGAUGACGAGUAGGGCGAGGCACGUGAAACCUUGUCUGAAUAUGGGGGGACCAUCCUCCAAGGCUAAAUACUCCUGACUGACCGAUAGUGAACCAGUACCGUGAGGGAAAGGCGAAAAGAACCCCUGUGAGGGGAGUGAAAUAGAUCCUGAAACCGCAUGCAUACAAGCAGUGGGAGCACCUUCGUGGUGUGACUGCGUACCUUUUGUAUAAUGGGUCAGCGACUUAUAUUC